GACGAACGCUGGCGGCGUGCCUAAUACAUGCCAGUUGAGCGCUGAAGGUUGGUACUUGUACCAACUGGAUGAGCAGCGAACGGGUGAGUAACGCGUGGGGAAUCUGCCUUUGAGCGGGGGACAACAUUUGGAAACGAAUGCUAAUACCGCAUAAAAACUUUAAACACAAGUUUUAAGUUUGAAAGAUGCAAUUGCAUCACUCAAAGAUGAUCCCGCGUUGUAUUAGCUAGUUGGUGAGGUAAAGGCUCACCAAGGCGAUGAUACAUAGCCGACCUGAGAGGGUGAUCGGCCACAUUGGGACUGAGACACGGCCCAAACUCCUACGGGAGGCAGCAGUAGGGAAUCUUCGGCAAUGGACGAAAGUCUGACCGAGCAGCGCCGCGUGAGUGAAGAAGGGUUUCGGAUCGUAAAACUCUGUUGGUAGAGAAGAACGUUGGUGAGAGUGGAAAGCUCAUCAAGUGACGGUAACUACCCAGAAAGGGACGGCUAACUACGUG
rnacentral:rRNA from 1 species